rnacentral:misc_RNA from 1 species
GUGCUAGCUAGAUGAGGUCUCUAAUCUUGUUUUACCUUGCAUCUAACAUUGUAACUGUGACUUGGUUUACUGUAAAUGAUUCAUCAUUUUUGCCUGAUGAAGAAUCAGUUUCGAAAGGAUUUCUUCCCAGGCAAUACCCAGGAGUUUUAGGCUGGGGCAUCGUUGCAGUUUCGCUGCUCAACUUCAAGACCACAGAUGCCAUUGUUGGCCUAUCUUCUGCACGUUCUUGGACGCAUAGAAGGCCUACCUGCAAGCAUCUAAGAACUUCACUCGAGGAAAAUGAAUUGCCAACCGAUGUAUCUAACAAGUCCAAUCCCUUUCCUUCUUUCCAUAGUCUCCAUGCAUG